rnacentral:rRNA from 1 species
CUACGUGCCAGCAGCCGCGGUAAUACGUAGGGUGCGAGCGUUAAUCGGAAUUACUGGGCGUAAAGCGGGCGCAGACGGUUACUUAAGCAGGAUGUGAAAUCCCCGGGCUCAACCUGGGAACUGCGUUCUGAACUGGGUGACUAGAGUGUGUCAGAGGGAGGUAGAAUUCCACGUGUAGUAGUGAAAUGCGUAGAGAUGUGGAGGAAUACCGAUGGCGAAGGCAGCCUCCUGGGAUAACACUGACGUUCAUGCCCGAAAGCGUGGGUAGCAAACAGGAUUAGAUACCCUGGUAGUCCACGCCCUAAACGAUGUCGAUUAGCUGUUGGGCAGCAUGACUGCUUAGUAGCGAAGCUAACGCGUGAAAUCGACCGCCUGGGGAGUACGGUCGCAAGAUUAAAACUCAAAGGAAUUGACGGGGACCCGCACAAGCGGUGGAUGAUGUGGAUUAAUUCGAUGCAACGCGAAGAACCUUACCUGGUCUUGACAU